GCCUUCAACUAGAUAGUUCAGUUUGGUUAGAGUGUGGUGUUGAUAACACCAAGAUUGCAGGUUCGAUCCCCACAUAGGACA